rnacentral:rRNA from 1 species
UACGUAGGGUGCGAGCGUUAAUCGGAAUUACUGGGCGUAAAGCGUGCGCAGGCGGUUCUACAAGUCAGAUGUGAAAUCCCCGGGCUCAACCUGGGAACUGCAUUUGUGACUGUAGGGCUAGAGUACGGCAGAGGGGGAUGGAAUUCCGCGUGUAGCAGUGAAAUGCGUAGAUAUGCGGAGGAACACCGAUGGCGAAGGCAAUCCCCUGGGCCUGUACUGACGCUCAUGCACGAAAGCGUGGGGAGCAAACAGG